rnacentral:rRNA from 1 species
UGAGGAAUAUUGGGCAAUGCCCGCAAGGGUGACCCAGCAACGCCGCGUGGAGGAUGAAUGUCGUAAGAUUGUAAACUCCUGUUAGAGGGGAAGAAUAGUACCGGUUGGACCGGUAUAUGACUGUACCCUCAGAGAAAGCCCCGGCUAACUACGUGCCAGCAGCCGCGGUAAUACGUAGGGGGCAAGCGUUGUCCGGAUUUACUGGGUGUAAAGGGCGCGCAGGCGGGAUAAAAAGUCAGUGGUGAAAUCCUACAGCUUAACUGUAGAACUGCCUUUGAUACUUUUAUUCUUGAGUUCGGGAGAGAGAGACGGAAUUCCAGGUGUAGUGGUGAAAUACGUAGAUAUCUGGAAGAACACCAGUUGCGAAGGCGGUCUCUGGGUCCGACACUGACGCUGAGGCGCGAAAGCGUGGGGAGCAAACA